CCUACGGGGUGCAGCAGUGGGGAAUAUUGGGCAAUGGAGGCAACUCUGACCCAGCAACGCCGCGUGAAUGAUGAAGGUCUUCGGAUUGUAAAGUUCUGUGAUGGGGGAGGAACACAAGGACGGGACGCCAAUAGCAAGCCACGGCUAACUACGUGCCAGCAGCCGCGGUAAGACGGAGGUGGCAAGCGUUCUCCGGAAUGACGGGGCGUAAAGGGUGCGGAGGUGGGUUCGGAAGGUGGCGGUGUAAUUCCGGGGCUCCACCUCGGCGCUACCGCCAAAACUAUUAGACUAGAGUGCAGGGGUGGUAAGUUGACUUCCUCGUGUAGCGGUGUCAUGCGUAGAUCUUAGGCG
rnacentral:rRNA from 1 species